rnacentral:rRNA from 1 species
UGGCUCAGGAUGAACGCUGGCGGCGUGCUUAACACAUGCAAGUCGAACGAACCUUCGGGUUAGUGGCGGACGGGUGAGUAACGCGUGAGAAUCUGCCCUCAGGAGGGGGACAACAGCUGGAAACGGCUGCUAAUACCCCAUAUGCCGCGAGGUGAAAUGAAUUUCGCCUGAGGAUGAGCUCGCGUCUGAUUAGCUAGUUGGUGUAGGUAAUGGCUCACCAAGGCAUCGAUCAGUAGCUGGUCUGAGAGGAUGAUCAGCCACACUGGGACUGAGACACGGCCCAGACUCCUACGGGAGGCAGCAGUGGGGAAUUUUCCGCAAUGGGCGAAAGCCUGACGGAGCAACGCCGCGUGAGGGAUGAAGGCCUCUGGGCUGUAAACCUCUUUUAUCAAGGAAGAAGAUCUGACGGUACUUGAUGAAUAAGCCACGGCUAAUUCCGUG